rnacentral:rRNA from 1 species
CUACGGGAUGCACCAGUGGGGAAUAUUGCACAAUGGGCGCAAGCCUGAUGCAGCAACGCCGCGUGAAGGAUGAAGGCCUUCGGGUCGUAAACUUCUGUCCUUGGGGAAGAAACAAAUGACGGUACCCAUGGAGGAAGCCCCGGCUAACUACGUGCCAGCAGCCGCGGUAAUACGUAGGGGGCAAGCGUUAUCCGGAAUUAUUGGGCGUAAAGAGUGCGUAGGUGGUUACCUAAGCGCAGGGUUUAAGGCAAUGGCUCAACUAUUGUUCGCCCUGUGAACUGGGCUACUUGAGUGCAGGAGAGGAAAGCGGAAUUCCUAGUGUAGCGGUGAAAUGCGUAGAUAUUAGGAGGAACACCAGUGGCGAAGGCGGCUUUCUAGACUGUUACUGACACUGAGGCACGAAAGCGUGGGGAGCAAACAGGAUUAGAUACCCCGGUAGUC